UUAAGAUACAGGGUCUUGCUCUCUUGCCCAGCCUGGACUGCAGUGACAGGUCACUGUAGCCUCAAACUCCCGGGUUCAAGUGAUCCUCUUACUUCAGUUUCCCAAGUAGCUGAUAUUACAGGAAACUACAAGAAAGGACUUGGAUUUGCCUGCUCCUUCUGCCUCCUAUUGUCAUGCUUCUGAGGUAAAUAGCAUCUCUGGAGUCCAGCCAGGACCUUGGAUUUUGCUCAUGCUAGAAAUGCCCAGGGUGGUGCUUGGUCCACAGAAGGUGGAUUUGUUCAAGCUGUACUUCUGAAGACACAUGUGGGAUAAUUAACAAGAAAUAACAUAAAUAAACAACAAUUACUGAACGCAAUGUGCAAUCUCUAUCUUCUGUGUUUCGGGGUCAAUUGUCUAACAGGAGCCACAGGAAGAGCUUCAGAGGCACCCAGAUGCCAAGCCUCAAUUCCCACUGUGACUCUACUCUGGCAGAGAGGCAUUUCUGGGCAAGUUUGAGGAGCAUGGAAUUAACAGUCAUCAAUGCAUUGCUGGAUUUGAAAAUGAUUUAUAUCAAUCAGCAGAGGACCUCCACUGGUGAUGUCAGCAGGAUCUGAGGAUGUUCAGAAAUUGCCUCAGACAGGGAUUGAUGUCAGGAGGCUUCAAGGAGAGAAAUAUACAUGAAUGGGAGACCCCAGGUUGCAGGCAACAAGAGUCACAGGUAUGGGAGAAACCAGGAAGUCUGUGCCAUGUUAACUUUGCUCAUCUCAUCGUGCUUUGUACUCAGAUAAGAAUAUCAUCCAGAAACACAGCAUGUUACUUCUUGUAAGUGAGUCUUACUGUUCCACAAAAUAUACAAGUUUAAAAGCCAGAAUGGAAAUCAGACUACAACAAAUAAUUCAGCCAACUUCAAUAUUCAAGAAAACUGUAUAAAAAUAUGCCACAAUGUUAUUUCAAACAGAAAGGCAAGCCUCCGCUGAUGGGACUUCCUCCUUGAUGAGGCUGACUGCUCCUCACCAGACAGGCCUCAGGUUUCUGAAAUAUGAUACUUGAAGAAAACUGGACUGAGUCUAUUCAACAUUGUAUUUGAGAUUAAUUCCAACAAGCUUAAGAUAUGCCCAUUAGACAUUUUCUGGGAUGUUACUGCCUAAAAAAACUAAUAAUUGCAACACUAAAUAAUUCUUUACAAGGCUCGUAAAACCAAUCUGUAACUUUAGGCAUAGUAAAACAGUUAAACAUGCUAUACUAAAGACUGUUCUUAAAAAGCAUUUACUUCCUUGGCUGACCACGUGCUUGUGAAGCUAAGCAAACAACUUGACAGCCUCACUUAGGUGGAGAGAAGCUUCCUUGGCAAGAGCUGACCACAAUGCCAAGCCACACACAGGAGACUCUCCGAGUGCCCCAUUUGGGUUGGGCUUUGAAGCUGGCUUUAUACAGGGUCUCAACAAUCACGCAGAGACUUUUGGGUUUUAUUUACUUGUCAAAUAAAGCAAUAAAAAAGAGACUUUUGGUUUUGUUUGCCUUUCUGUCUUUCUAGUCUAUCUUUCAU
rnacentral:lncRNA from 10 species